rnacentral:rRNA from 1 species
GUCGAGAAUCUUUCUCAAUGGGCGCAAGCCUGAAGGAGCGACGCCGCGUGGGGGAUGAAUGGCUUCGGCCCGUAAACCCCUGUCAUUCGCGAGCAAGGCUUGUGAUUUAAAAGAUGACAAGCUCGAUAGUAGCGGAAGAGGAAGGGACGGCUAACUCUGUGCCAGCAGCCGCGGUAAUACAGAGGUCCCAAGCGUUGUUCGGAUUCACUGGGCGUAAAGGGUGCGUAGGUGGUGAGGUAAGUCUGGUGUGAAAGCUCCGAGCUCAACUCGGAAACGGCAUUAGAAACUACCCCGCUGGAGGGUUGGAGGGGGGACUGGAAUUCUCGGUGUAGCAGUGAAAUGCGUAGAUAUCGAGAGGAACACCAGUGGCGAAGGCGAGUCCCUGGACAACUCCUGACACUGAGGCACGAAAGCUAGGGGAGCAAACAGGAUUAGAUACCCGAGUAGUCC